rnacentral:piRNA from 1 species
UGGUAUUGAAAAUCAUUGCCUAUGAUUGC